GACGAACGCUGGCGGCGUGCUUAACACAUGCAAGUCGAACGGAAAGGCCCUGCUUUUGUGGGGUGCUCGAGUGGCGAACGGGUGAGUAACACGUGAGUAACCUGCCCUUGACUUUGGGAUAACUUCAGGAAACUGGGGCUAAUAUCGGAUAGGAGCUCCUGCUGCAUGGUGGGGGUUGGAAAGUUUCGGCGGUUGGGGAUGGACUCGCGGCUUAUCAGCUUGUUGGUGGGGUAGUGGCUUACCAAGGCUUUGACGGGUAGCCGGCCUGGGAGGGUGACCGGCCACAUUGGGACUGAGAUACGGCCCAGACUCCUACGGGAGGCAGCAGUGGGGAAUAUUGCACAAUGGGCGGAAGCCUGAUGCAGCAGCGCCGCGUGCGGGAUGACGGCCUUCGGGUUGUAAACCGCUUUCGCCUGUGACGAAGCGUGAGUGACGGUAAUGGGUAAAGAAGCACCGGCUAACUACGUG
rnacentral:rRNA from 1 species